GGGGAUUUAAAGAGUGCAUUGCAGCCCCUAAGUCUAAAAAACAAAGACUAUAAAAAAUUUCAAAAUCUUGGCACUAAGCACGAACUUAGUGUUAUCUACCACCAAAGAUAGCUAGCUUCGAAAACAACUAAAUUGAAACAUUUCUUGCACCUAUAUUUCGACAGUAGUCGUCAUUUACGGAUUUAAAGAGUGAAUUGCAGCCCCUAAGUCUAAAAAACCCAGACUUUCAAAAAUUUCAAAAUCUUGGCACCAAGCACCAACUUAGUCCAGUCUCACCACUAAACAUAGCUUUGUUGAAAAGCAACUAAAUUGAAACAUUUCUUGCACAUAUAAUGUGACACUAGUCAUCAUUUGCGGAUUUAAAGAGUGCAAUGCAGCCCCGAAGUCCAAAAAACCAAGACUAUCAAAAAUCUCAAAUCUUGGCACCAAGCAAGAACUUAGCCCUAUCUCACCAUAAAACAUAGCUUGCUUGAAAAGAAACUAAAUUGAAACAUUUCUUGCACCUAUAUUUUGACAAUAGUCGCCAUUUUGGGAUUUAAAGAGUGCAUUACAGCCCCUAAGUCUAAAAAACCAAGAUUUUAAAAUAUUUCCAAAUCUUGGCACCAAGUACCAACUUAGUCCAGUCUCACCAUUAAACAUAGCUUCCUUGAAAAGCAACUAAAUGGACACAUUUCUUCCACCUAUAUUUUCACACUAAUUUUCAUUUGGGGAUUUAAAGAGUGUAUUCCAGCCCCUAAGUCUAAAAAACCAAGACUUUAGAAAAUUUCCAAACCUUGGUACCUAGCACCAACUUAGUCCAGUCUCACCACCGAACAUAGCUUGCUUUAAAAGAAACGAAAUUGAAACAUUUCUUGCACCUAUAUUUUCAAACCAGUCAUCAUUUGGGGAUUUAAAGAGUGCAUUGCAGCCCCUAAGUCUAAAAAACCAAGACUUUCAAAAAUUCCCAAAUCUUGGCACCAAGCACCAACUUAGUCCAGUCUCACCACUAAACAUAGCUUGCUGGAAAACAAACUGAAUUGAAACAUUUCUUGCACAUAUACUUUGACACUAGUCAUCAUUUGGGGAUUUAAAGACUGCAAUGCAGCCCCUAAGUCUAAAAAACCAAGACUAUCAAAAAUUUCAAAAUCUUGGCACCAAGCACGAACUUAGUGUUAUCUCACCACCAAAGAUAGCUAGCUUGAAAACCAACUAAAUUGAAACAUUUCUUGCACCUAUAUUUUCACAGUAGUCGUCCUUUAGGGAUUUAAAGAGUGCAUUGCAGCCCCUAAGUCUAAAAAACCAAAACUUUCAAAAAUUUCCAAAUCCUGCCACCAAGCACCAACUUAGUCUAGUCUCACCACUAAACAUAGCUUGCUUGGAAAGCAACUAAAUUGAAACAUUUCUUGCACAUACAUUUUGACACUAGUCGUCAUUUGCGGAUUUAAAGAGUUCAAUGAAGCCCCUAAGUCCAAAAAAUCAAGACAAUAAAAAAUUUCAAAUCUUGGCACCAAGCACGAACUUAGUCCUAUAUCACCACCAAACAUAGCUAGAUUGAAAAGCAACUAAAUUGAAAUAUUUCUUGCACCUAUAUUUUCACACUAGUCGUCAUUUAGGGAUUUAAAGAGUGCAUUGCGGUCUCUAAGUCUAAAACACUAGACCUUCAAAACUUUCCAAAUCUUGGUACCAAGCACCAACUUAGUCCAGUCUCACCACCAAACAUAACUUGGUUUAAAAGCAACUAAAUUGAAACAUUUCUUACACCUAUAUUUUAACACUAGUCGUCAUUUCGGGAUUUAAAGAGUGCAUUGCAGCCCCUAAGUCUAAAAAACCAAGACUUUAAAAAAUUUCCAAAUCUUGGCACCAAGCACCAACUUAGUCCAGUCUCAGCACUAAACAUAGCUUGCUUGAAAAGUAGCUAAAUGGAUACAUUUCUUGCAUCUAUAUUUUAAAACUAAUUAUCAUUUGGGGAUUUAAAGAGUGCAUUCUAGCCCCUAAGUCUAAAAAAAAAACAAGACUGUCAAAAAUUUCAAAAUCUUGGCACCAAGCACGAACUUAGUGCUAUCUCACCACCAAAGAUAGCUAGCUUGAAAAGCAACUAAAUUGAAACAUUUCUUGCACCUAUAUUUUCACAGUAGUCGUCAUUUAGGGAUUUAAAGAGUGCAUUGCAGCCCCUAAGUCUAAAAAACCAAUACUUUCAAAAAUUUCCAAAUCUUGGCACCAAGCACCAACUUAGUCUAGUCUCACCACUAAACAUAGCUUGCUUGAAAAGAAACUAAAUUUAAACAUUUCUUGCACAUAUAUUUUGACACUAGUCGUCAUUUGGGGAUUUAAAGAGUGCAAUGAAGCCCCUAAGUCGAAAAAACCAAGACUAUAAAAAAUUUUAAAUCUUGGCACCAAGCACGAACUUUGUCCUAUAUAACCACCAAACAUAGCUAGCUUGAAAAACAACUAAAUUCAAAUAUUUGUUGCACCUAUAUUUUGACACUAGUCGUCAUUUAGGGAUUUAAAGAGUGCAUUGCGGUCCCUAAGUCUAAAAAACAAGACCUUCAAAAAUUUCCAAAUCUUGGUACCAAGGACCAACUUAGUCCAGUCUCACCACCAAACAUAACUUGCUUUAAAAGUAACUACAUUGAAACAUUUCUUGCACCUAUAUUUUAACACUAGACGUCAUUUGGGGAUUUAAAGAGUGCAUUGUAGCCCCUAAGUCUAAAAAACCAAGACUUUCAAAAAUUUCCAAAUCUUGGCACCAAGCACCAACUUAGUCUAGUCUCACCACCAAACAUAGAUAGCUUGAAAAGCAACUAAAUUGAAACAUUUCUUGCACCUAUAUUUUGACACUAGUCGUGAUUUGGGGAUUUAAAGAGUGCAUUGCAACCCCUAAGUCUAAAAAACCAAGACUUUAGAAAAUUUCCAAAGCUUGGUACCAAGCACCAACUUAGUCCAGUCUCACCACCAAACAUAGNNNNNNNNNNNNNNNNNNNNNNNNNNNNNNNNNNNNNNNNNNNNNNNNNNNNNNNNNNNNNNNNNNNNNNNNNNNNNNNNNNNNNNNNNNNNNNNNNNNNNNNNNNNNNNNNNNNNNNNNNNNNNNNNNNNNNNNNNNNNNNNNNNNNNNNNNNNNNNNNNNNNNNNNNNNNNNNNNNNNNNNNNNNNNNNNNNNNNNNNNNNNNNNNNNNNNNNNNNNAGGAUUUAAAGAGUGCAAUGCAGCCCCUAAGUCCAAAAAACCAAGACUAUCAAAAAUUUCAAAUCUUCGCACCAAGCACGAACUUAGUCCUAUCUCACCACCAAACACAGCUAGCUUGAAAAGAAACUAAAUUGAAACAUUUCUUGCACCUAUAUUUUGACACUACUCGUCAUUUUUGGGAUUUAAAGAGUGCAUUGCGGUCCCUAAGUCUAAAAAACAAGACCUUCAAAAAUUUUCAAAUCUUUGUACCAAACACCAACUUAGUCCAGUCUCACCACUAAACAUAUCUUACUUGAAAAGCGCCUAACUUGAAACAUUUCUUGCACAUAUUAUUUGACCCUAGCCGUCAUUUUUGGAAUUUAAAGAGUGCAAUGCAGCCCCUAAGUCCAAAAAAACAAGACUAUCAAAAAUUUCCAAAUCUUGGCACCAAGCACGAACUUAGUCCUAUCUCACUAAGAAACAUAGCUAGCUUGAAAAGCAACUAAAUUGAAACAUUUCUUGCACCUAUAUUUUGACAGUAGUCGUCAUUUAGGGAUUUCAAGAGUGCAUUGAAGCCCCUAUGUCUAAAGAACCAAGACUUUCAAAAAUUUCCAAAUCUUGUCACCAAGCACCAACUUAGACCAGUCUCACCACUAAACAUAGCUUGCUUGAAAAGCAACUAAAUUGAAUUAUUUCUUGCACAUAUAUUUUGACAGUAGUCGUCAUUUGGGGAUUUAAAGAGUGCAAUGUAGCCCCUAAGUGCAAAAAACCAAGACUAUCAAAAAUUUCAAAUCUUGGCACCAAGCACGAACUUAGUCCUAUCUCACCACCAAACAUAGCUACUUGAAAAGCAACUAAAUUGAAACAUUUCUUGCACUUAUAUUUUGACACUAGUCAUCAUUUGGGGAUUUAAAGAGUGCACUGUGGCCCCUAAGUCUAAAAAACCAAGACCUUCUAAAAUUUCAAAAUCUUGGCACCAAUCACCAACUUAGUCCAAUCUCACCACCGAACAUAGCUUGCUUAAAAAGCUAUUAAAUUGAGACAUUUCCUGCACCUGUAUUUUGACACUAGCCGCCAUUUGGGGAUUUAAAGAGUGCAUUGCAACCCCUAAGUCUAAAAAACCAAGAGUUUAGAAAAUUUCCAAAGCUUGGUACCAAGCACCAACUUAGGCCAGUCUCACCACCAAACAUAGGUUGCUUUAAAAGAAACUAAAUUGAAACAUUUCUUGCACCUAUAUUUUCAAACUAGUCAUCAUUUGGGGAUUUAAAGAGUGCAAUGCAGCCCCGAAGUCCAAAAAUCCAAGACUAUCAAAUAUUUCAAAUCUUCGCAACAAGCACGAACUUAGUGCUAUCUCAACACCAAACAUAGCUAGCUUGAAAAGCAACUAAAUUUAAAAAUUUCUUGCACCUAUAUUUUGACAGUAGUCAUCAUUUAGGGAUUUAAAGAGUGCAUUGCUGCCCCUAAGUCUAAAAAACCAAGACUUUCAAAUCUUGGCACCAAGCACCGACUUAGUCUAGUCUCACCACUACACAUAGCUUGCUUGAAAAGCAACUAAAUUGAAACAUUUCUUGCAUAUAUAUUUUGGCACUAGUCCUCAUUUGGGGAUUUAAAGGGUGCAAUGAAGCCCCUAAGUCCAAAAANCAGCCCCUAAGUCUAAAAAACAAAGACUUAAAAAAAUUUCCAAAUCUUGGCACGAAGCACCAACUAAGUCCAGUCUCACCACGAAACAUAGCUUGCCUGAAACGCAACUAAAUGGAAACAUUUCUUGCACCUAUAUUUUGACACUAAUUAUCAUUUGGAGAUUUAAAGAGUGCAUUCCAUCCCCUAAGUCUAAAAAACCAAGACUUUAAAAAACUUCCAAAUCUUGGCACCAAGCACCAACUUAGUCCAGUCUCACCACUAAACAUAGCUUGCUUGAAAAGCAACUAAAUCGAUACAUUUCGUGCACAUAUAUUUUGACACUAGUCGUCAUUUGGGGAUUUAAAGAGUGCAAUGCAGCCCCUAAUUCCAAAAAACUAAGAGUAUGACAAAUUUCAAAUCUUGGCACCAACCACGAACUUAGUCCUAUCUCACCACCAAACAUAGCUAGCUUUAGAAGCAAAUAAAUUGAAACAUUUCUUGCACCUAUAUUUUGACACUAGUCGUCAUUACAGCCCCGAAAUCUAAAAAACCAAGCCUUUAAAAAAUUUCCAAAUCUUGGCACGAAACACCAACUCAUUCCAGGCUCACCACGAAACAUAGCUUGCUUUAAAAGAAACUAAAUUGAAACAUUUCUUGCACCUAUAUUUUCAAACUAGUCGUCAUUGGGGAUUUAAAGAGUGCAUUGCAUCCCCUAAGUCUAAAAAACCAAGACUUUAAUAAAUUUCGUAAUCUUUGUACCAAGCACCAACUUAGUCCAGUCUCACAACCAAACAGAGCUUGCUUGAAAAGCAACAAAAUUGAAACAUUUCUUGCACCUAUAUUUUGACAUUAGUCAUCAUUUUGAGAUUUAAAGAGUGCAUUGCAACCCCUAAGUCUAAAAAACCAACACUUUAGAAAAUUUCCAAACCUUGGUACCAAGAAACAACUUAGUCCAGUCUCACCACCAAACAUAGCUUGCUUUAAAAGAAACUAAGUUGAAACAUUUCUUACACCUAUAUUUUCAAACUAGUCAUCAUGUGGGGAUUUAAAGAGUGCAUUUCAGCCCCUAAGUCUAAAAAACUAAGACUUUCAAAAAUUCCCAAAUCUUGGCAUCAAGCACCAACUUAGUGCUAUCUCACCACCAAAGAUAGCUAGCUUGAAAAGAAACUAAAUUGAAACAUUUCUUGCACCUAUAUUUUGACACUAGUCGUCAUUUGGGGAUUUAAUGAGUGCAUUACAGCUCCUAAGUCUAAAAAAGCAAGAGUUUAAAAAAUUUCCAAAUCUUGGCACGAAGCACCAACUAAAUCCAGUCUCACCACGAAACAUAGCUUGCUUGAAAAGCAACUAAAUGGACACAUUUCUUGCACCUAUAUUUUGACACUAAUUAUCAUUUGGGGAUUUAAUGAGUGCAUUCCAGCCUGUAAGUCUAAAAAACCAAGACUUUAAAAAAUUAUAAAAUCUUGGUACCAAGCACCAACUUAGUCCAGUCUCACAACUAAACAUAGCUUGCUUGAAAAGCAACAAAAUUGAAACAUUUCUUGCACCUAUAUUUUGACAUUAGUUGUCAUUUCGGGAUUUAAAGAGUACAUUGUGGCCCCUAAGUCUAAAAAACCAAGACCUAAAAAAAUUUCCAAAUCUUUCCACCAAUAACAAACUUAGUCCAGUCUCACCACCAAACAUAGCUUGCUUAAAAAGCUAUUAAAUUAAGACAUUUCCUGCACCUAUAUUUUGACAAUAGUCGUCAUUUGGGAUUUAAAGAGUGCAUUGCAACCCCUAAGUCUAAAAAACCAAGACAUUCGAAAAUUUCAAAACCUUGGUACCAAGCACCAACUUAGUCCUAUCUCACCACCACACAUAGGUAGCUUGAAAAGCAACGAAAUUGAAAGAUUUCUUGCACCUAUAUUUUGACACUAGGCGUCAUUUGGGGAUUUAAAGAGCGCAAUGCAGCCCCUAAGUCUAAAAAACCAAGACUGUCAAUAAUUUCAAAAUCUUGGCACCAAGCAUGAACUUAGUGUUAUCUCACCACCAAAGCUAGCUAGCUUCAAAAGCAACUAAAUUGAAACAUUUCUUGCACCUAUAUUUUGACACUAGUCGUCAUUUAGGGAUUUAAAGAGUGCAUUGCAGCCCCUAAGUCUAAAAAACCAAGACUUUCAAAAAUUGCCAAAUCUUGGCACCAAGG
rnacentral:lncRNA from 1 species